rnacentral:rRNA from 1 species
UACGUAGGUGGCAAGCGUUGUCCGGAAUUAUUGGGCGUAAAGCGCGCGCAGGCGGCCUUUUAAGUCUGAUGUGAAAUCUUGCGACUCAACCGCAAGCGGCCAUUGGAAACUGGGAGGCUUGAGUACAGAAGAGGAGAGUGGAAUUCCACGUGUAGCGGUGAAAUGCGUAGAUAUGUGGAGGAACACCAGUGGCGAAGGCGACUCUCUGGUCUGUAACUGACGCUGAGGCGCGAAAGCGUGGGGAGCAAACAGG